rnacentral:snRNA from 1 species
AAACGUUUGUGAAGGGGUUAAUGGGCGAUCAAGAAGGCUCAUGGCCUAGGUAGAUGGCCGCCAUUGCACUGAGGAGGUGCAUCUGUCUAAGGUCUCCCAAGUGAGAGAGCCUACGUCAUAAUUUGUGGCAGAGGGGGCCUGCGUACGCGCGGCCCCUA